rnacentral:pre_miRNA from 2 species
UUAGGAAUCACCUGGGGAUCUCAUUAAAAUGCAAAUUCUGAAGGAGUAGGUGUAGGGGUGGGGGCUGAGAGUCUGCAUUUCUAAUAAGCUCCCAGGUGUUGCUGAU